AUGGUUUGUCAAUCAAUUAUGCUAAAUCAGGCCUAUCCAAAACCUUUGCGAGCUAAAGCGCCUAAUGGUCCUUUAUGGCAUACUGAACGUGAAAAAGUACUGAAGUAUUUAUUGAUAGUGAAUAUAUACCGUAAGUAAAAACAAAAUAAUUUAUUAAUUACAUAAUUCUAUCUCUUCAGUUUAAAAAAUGUUCCUAGAAAUACAAAGGAGAUUGAAUGCAUCAAUAAAUCUUAAUAAAUUUUUAAAACAUCCAAAUAUA